CCUACGGGUGGCAGCAGUGAGGAAUAUUGGUCAAUGGGCGGAAGCCUGAACCAGCCAAGUAGCGUGCAGGAUGACGGCCCUACGGGUUGUAAACUGCUUCUAUACGGGAAUAACGCGCCUUACGUGUAGGGCUUUGCAUGUACCGUAUGAAUAAGGCCCGGCUAAUUCUGUGCCAGCAGCCGCGGUAAUACGGAAGGUCCGGGCGUUAUCCGGAUUUAUUGGGUUUAAAGGGAGUGUCGGCCGGAUGUCAAGCAUGCUGUGAAAUGUCCAGGGUCAACCCGGGCCUUGCAUGGCGACCUGGCGGGCUGGAGUCCGCGGAAGGCAGGCGGAAUUCGUCGUGUAGCGGUGAAAUGCUUAGAUAUGACGAAGAACCCCGAUUGCGAAGGCAGCGUGCUGGAGCGGAACUGACGCUGAGGCUCGAAAGCGCGGGUAUCGAACAGGAUUAGAUACCCUUGUAGUC
rnacentral:rRNA from 1 species